rnacentral:rRNA from 1 species
GAUGAACGCUGACAGAAUGCUUAACACAUGCAAGUCUUUGGCGAAGCUGUGCUUGCACAGCCUAGCCAAGGCGGACGGGUGAGUAACGCGUAAGGAACUUGCCCUGCAGUCAGGGAUAACAGACGGAAACGACUGAUAAGACCUGGUAAAGUCAGGCGGACUCAUGUCCAGCCUGAUGAAAAGUGAUGCUGCAGGAGAGCCUUGCGUCCUAUUAGCUUGUUGGUGGGGUAACGGCCCACCAAGGCGAUGAUAGGUAGCCGGCCUGAGAGGGUGGACGGCCACAAGGGGACUGAGAUACGGCCCUUACUCCUACGGGAGGCAGCAGUGGGGAAUAUUGGACAAUGGGGGCAACCCUGAUCCAGCAAUUCUGUGUGCGCGAUGAAGGUUUUCGGAUUGUAAAGUGCUUUCAGCAGGGAAGAAAAAAAUGACGGUACCUGCAGAAGAAGCGACGGCUAAAUACGUG